rnacentral:rRNA from 1 species
AUCUAUGGCCAUGCCACCCUGAACACGCCCGAUCCCAUCUGAUCUCGGAAGCUAAGCAGGGUCGGGCCUGGUUAGUACUUGAAUGGGAGACCACCUUGGAAGACCAGGUGCUGUGGGCA